rnacentral:lncRNA from 1 species
GAUUUUCUUAUUAUAAUCAAUCUUUUCGUGUACAGAUAAUUAUUAUUUAAAUUUAAUAUUAGAAGCAUCGAAUUCUGAGGAUGAAAUAGAAAGACUGUUAGAAGCAUUGCAUUAACUUCCUUUCAGAUUUUUUCUUUCCGCGUAAACGCGUGGAGUCGUUUGGGUCCAACUCAGCACUAACCAAUUAAUUAGGGUUCUUCUGGUUUAACAAUUAUCUUUAGGGGUUACUCCCUACACCUCCCCAUUUGUUUCCUCUACCUUCCCAUUUUUCUACAUUUUUAUUUUAAUUACAAAUAUAACCUUUUGUUUUCCUUUUUUAACCUUUAUAGUUUUUUAUUUUUUUACUUAUUUACCAAACCCUACUUUUACUCUGAUCCCUCACCCCCCAUUUCAGAUUUGAGAUCUGCCCUUUUUCUCUCCUCCGUCUCAUUUUCUCCCCUCGCCCUUUUCUUCUUCACGCAUCACACUAAUUUUUCUCUGUUUGACUCUACUUUGCACUCAGUCGUGGUGGAGUGCGGUGGUGUGAAGGUGUGUGGCUGUUGUUACUGUUCGUGGUGGUGUUUCGUUGUAGUGAGUGGUGCAUAUCUUCGUCUACUAGGUAUUAGUUUACUACUAUGUGCAUCUUGCUGGUUUCGCUGUUUGUUUAAUUCACUACUUUAUGCAUGCUUUGAUUCACAACUCUGACCAUGCUUGCUGGUUUGGCUUUGGGUGUUUUUUUUUCUCUUUUUUAGUUUAUUAAUUUUUUUAUUUGUAUUUAAAUUUAGUUUUUAUUUUAAUUUAUUAGUGGAAUUUUUUUUAAUUUAGUUAUUUAAUUAUUAUUUAUUUAAUUAUUUCAAUAUAAAAU